rnacentral:rRNA from 1 species
GACGAACGCUGGCGGCGUGCUUAACACAUGCAAGUCGAACGGAAAGUUCCUGCCUUUGUGGGGUGCUCGAGUGGCGAACGGGUGAGUAACACGUGAGUUACCUGCCCCUGACUUUGGGAUAACUUCAGGAAACUUGGGCUAAUCCCGGAUAGGAGUUCCCGCUGCAUGGUGGGCGCUGGAAAGUUUAGGCGGUUGGGGAGGGACUCGCCGCCUAUCAGGUUGUUGGUGGGGUAGUGGGCGAGCAAGGCGUUGAGGGGUUGCCGGCCUGGUGGGGUGGCCGGCCACGUUGGGACGGGGAUGAGGCCCGGACUCGUACGGGAGGCGGCGGUGGGGAAGAUUGCACAAUGGGCGGAAGCCUGAUGCAGCAACGCCGCGUGCGGGAUGACGGCCUUCGGGUUGUAAACCGCUUUCGCCUGUGACGAAGCGUGAGUGACGGUAAUGGGUAAAGAAGCACCGGCUAACUACGUG